CUUCUCCCCACCUCCUCACCCAGCCUCUGGUAGCCAUCAUUCUACUCUCUACUUCUUUCUAUUUUUAGUUUUUUGAGGAACUUCCAUUCAGUUUCCCAUAAUGGCUGUGAGUCUGGAGUUUGUUCCUGCCGGUGGGUUCGUGGUCUCGCUGACUUCAAGAAUGAAGCUGCAGACGUUCGUGAGGAGAAAGCUGAAGCACCAGAUGGUUAAAAGGACUGUUCAAGACAGCCUUGCAAUUUUGACCAAGGAAGAAAGCUGAAGAGUGCUAGGGCAAGAGAGGAACUACGUCCAGAACAAUUCAUAAUUCCAAAUUCUCACUUCCAUGAUUUCAAUGCUGAAUGUGUACUUCUCUAGCUAAAAAUACAAUUGCUUAAGUAAAAUCAUCAUUAUUUACAGUCUUG
rnacentral:lncRNA from 1 species